GAUGAACGCUGGCGGCGUGCCUAAUACAUGCAAGUCGAACGCAUUGAGAGAAGUGCUUGCACUUUUCAAUUUGAGUGGCGAACGGGUGAGUAACACGUGGGCAACCUACCUGAUAGCGGGGGAUAACGAGUGGAAACAUUCGCUAAUACCGCAUAACAAUAGAGAAGGCAUCUUCUUUAUUUAAAAGGCGCUUUCAAGCGUCACUAUCAGAUGGGCCCGCGGUGCAUUAAUUAGUUGGUGGGGUGAAGGCCUACCAAGACGAUGAUGCAUAGCCGAGUUGAGAGACUGAUCGGCCACAUUGGGACUGAGACACGGCCCAAACUCCUACGGGAGGCUGCAGUAGGGAAUCUUCCACAAUGGACGAAAGUCUGAUGGAGCAACGCCGCGUGUGUGAUGAAGGCUUUCGGGUCGUAAAGCACUGUUGUAUGGGAAGAAAUGCUAGGCUAGGAAAUGAGCUUAGUUUGACGGUACCGUACCGGAAAGGGACGGCUAAAUACGUGCCAGCCGCCGCAGUAA
rnacentral:rRNA from 1 species